rnacentral:rRNA from 1 species
AUUGAACGCUGGCGGCAGGCCUAACACAUGCAAGUCGGACGGUAGCACAGAGAGCUUGCUCUCGGGUGACGAGUGGCGGACGGGUGAGUAAUGUCUGGGGAUCUGCCCGAUAGAGGGGGAUAACCACUGGAAACGGUGGCUAAUACCGCAUAACGUCACAAGACCAAAGAGGGGGACCUUCGGGCCUCUCACUAUCGGAUGAACCCAGAUGGGAUUAGCUAGUAGGCGGGGUAACGGCCCACCUAGGCGACGAUCCCUAGCUGGUCUGAGAGGAUGACCAGCCACACUGGAACUGAGACACGGUCCAGACUCCUACGGGAGGCAGCAGUGGGGAAUAUUGCACAAUGGGCGCAAGCCUGAUGCAGCCAUGCCGCGUGUAUGAAGAAGGCCUUCGGGUUGUAAAGUACUUUCAGCGGGGAGGAAGGCGAUGUGGUUAAUAACCGUAUCGAUUGACGUUAUCCGCAGAAGAAGCACCGGCUAACUCCGUGCCAGCCGCCGCAGUAA